UCGGGAAUUUUGGGCAAUGGGCGAAAGCCUGACCCAGCAACGCCGCGUGCAGGAUGAAGGCCCUCGGGUUGUAAACUGCGGUAGUAGGGGAGGAACGCAAGUGACUGUACCCUACGGAAAGUGGUUGGUAACUACGUGCCAGCACCAGCGGUAAUACGUAGACCACAAGCGUUAUCCGGAUUUAUUGGGCGUAAAGAGCAUGUAGGAGGUCCGGUGCGUCUCUGGUUAAAGCCCACCGCCUAACGGUGGAAGUGCCAGAGAUACGAUCGGACUGGAGGAUGUGAGAGGUGCAUGGAACUCACGGUGUAGGGGUGAAAUCCGUUGAUAUCGUGGGGAACACCAAAGGCGAAGGCAGUGCACUGGUACAUUCCUGACUCUGAGAUGCGAAAGCGUGGGGAGCAAAAAGGAUUAGAUACCCGAGUAGUCCCUGAGCGGGCUGGCAAGGCGCAU
rnacentral:rRNA from 1 species